rnacentral:rRNA from 1 species
UGCCAGCCGCCGCGGUAAUACGAAAGGGGCAAGCGUUGUUCGGAAUUACUGGGCGUAAAGCGCGCGUAGGCGGAUUGUUAAGUCGGGGGUGAAAUCCCGGGGCUCAACCUUGGAACUGCAUUUGAAACUGUUGUUCUUGAGUGAUGGAGAGGCAGGCGGAAUUCCUAGUGUAGCGGUGAAAUGCGUAGAUAUUAGGAGGAACACCAGUGGCGAAGGCGGCUCGCUGGCUCGAUACUGACGCUGAGGCGCGAAAGCGUGGGGAGCAAACAGGAUUAGAUA